AACGGCCGCGGUAUUUUGACCGUGCAAAGGUAGCGCAAUCAAUUGUCUUUUAAAUGAAGGCCCGUAUGAAUGGCAUAACGAGGGCUUAACUGUCUCCUUUUUCCAGUCAAUGAAAUUGAUCUUCCCGUGCAGAAGCGGGAAUAAAAACAUAAGACGAGAAGACCCUAUGGAGCUUAUAAACGCAAGAGCAGAUUACAUCAAUUAUUCUAAUUACAAGAUAUAAAGCCAAGUGACCACUGCUCUAAUGUUUUUGGUUGGGGCGACCAUGGGAUAAAAUCAAACUCCCACGCAGAAUAAAAAUACAAUUUUUUAAUUUAAGAGCAACAGCUCUAGAAAGCAGAAGUUCUGACUUAUAUGAUCCGGCUGAAGCCGAUUAACGAACCGAGUUACCCUAGGGAUAACAGCGCAAUCCUUUUUGAGAGUCCUUAUCGACAAAAGGGUUUACGACCUCGAUGUUGGACCAGGACAUCCUAAU
rnacentral:rRNA from 1 species